UACGUAGGGGGCGAGCGUUGUCCGGAAUGAUUGGGCGUAAAGGGCGCGUAGGCGGCCCGGUAAGUCUGGAGUGAAAGUCCUGCUUUUAAGGUGGGAAUUGCUUUGGAUACUGUCGGGCUUGAGUGCAGGAGAGGUAAGUGGAAUUCCCAGUGUAGCGGUGAAAUGCGUAGAGAUUGGGAGGAACACCAGUGGCGAAGGCGACUUACUGGACUGUAACUGACGCUGAGGCGCGAAAGUGUGGGGAGCAAAC
rnacentral:rRNA from 1 species